AGUGAACGCUGGCGGUAGGCCUAACACAUGCAAGUCGAACGGCAGCACAGUAAGAGCUUGCUCUUACGGGUGGCGAGUGGCGGACGGGUGAGGAAUACAUCGGAAUCUACUUUUUCGUGGGGGAUAACGUAGGGAAACUUACGCUAAUACCGCAUACGACCUACGGGUGAAAGCAGGGGAUCUUCGGACCUUGCGCGAUUGAAUGAGCCGAUGUCGGAUUAGCUAGUUGGCGGGGUAAAGGCCCACCAAGGCGACGAUCCGUAGCUGGUCUGAGAGGAUGAUCAGCCACACUGGAACUGAGACACGGUCCAGACUCCUACAGGAGGCAGCAGUGGGGAAUAUUGGACAAUGGGCGCAAGCCUGAUCCAGCCAUACCGCGUGGGUGAAGAAGGCCUUCGGGUUGUAAAGCCCUUUUGUUGGGAAAGAAAAGCAGCAGGUUAAUACCCCGCUGUUCUGACGGUACCCAAGGAAUAAGCACCGGCUAACUUCGUG
rnacentral:rRNA from 1 species